CCUACGGGGAGCAGCAGUCGAGAAUCAUUCACAAUGGGGGAAACCCUGAUGGUGCGACGCCGCGUGGGGGAAUGAAGGUCUUCGGAUUGUAAACCCCUGUCAUGUGGGAGCAAAUUAAAAAGAUAGUACCACAAGAGGAAGAGACGGCUAACUCGGUGCCAGCAGCCGCGGUAAUACAGAGGUCUCAAGCGUUGUUCGGAAUCACUGGGCGUAAAGCGUGCGUAGGCUGUUUCGUAAGUCGUGUGUGAAAGGCGCGGGCUCAACCCGCGGACGGCACAUGAUACUGCGAGACUAGAGUAAGGGAGGGGGAACCGGAAUUCUCGGUGUAGCAGUGAAAUGCGUAGAUAUCGAGAGGAACACUCGUGGCGAAGGCGGGUUCCUGGACAUUAACUGACGCUGAGGCACGAAGGCCAGGGGAGCGAAAGGGAUUAGAUACCCGGGUAGUC
rnacentral:rRNA from 1 species